UAAUUACUUCUUUAAAAACUUUAACUUCCCAGAUAUAAAAUGGAGGACAAGUGCUAGUAAUAAAGAUAGGGUUCAGAUUUUUCUGGAUAUGAUAGCUGAUGGAUUCCUUCACCAAGUAGUUGCUGAACCGACAACAGGGGUAUGCCAUUUUAGAUUUGGUUUUGGUGAGUAGUGAGGACCUCAU